AGACGGAGGGGGCUAGCGUUGUUCGGAAUGACUGGGCGUAAAGGGCGCGUAGGCGGUUUUUUAAGUGAGGCGUGAAAGCCCUGGGCUUAACCCAGGAGGUGCGUUUCAUACUGAAAGACUUGAGUGCGAGAGAGGAAAGUGGAAUUCCUAGUGUAGAGGUGAAAUUCGUAGAUAUUAGGAAGAACACCCGUGGCGAAGGCGGCUUUCUGGCUCGCAACUGACGCUGAGGCGCGAAAGCGUGGGGAGC
rnacentral:rRNA from 1 species